rnacentral:rRNA from 1 species
UACAGAGGGGGCAAGCGUUGUUCGGAAUUACUGGGCGUAAAGGGCGCGUAGGCGGCCUUCUAAGUCAGACGUGAAAUCCCUCGGCUCAACCGGGGAACUGCGUCUGAUACUGAAAGGCUUGAAUCCGGGAGAGGAAUGCGGAAUUCCAGGUGUAGCGGUGAAAUGCGUAGAUAUCUGGAGGAACACCGGUGGCGAAGGCGGCGACCUGGUUCAUUACUGACGCUGAGGCGCGAAAGCGUGGGGAGCAAACAGG